GACGAACGCUGGCGGCGUGCUUAACACAUGCAAGUCGAACGGAAAGGCCCCUUUGGGGGUACUCGAGUGGCGAACGGGUGAGUAACACGUGCGUAACCUACCCUCGACUUCGGGAUAACUUCAGGAAACUGGGGCGAAUACCGGAUAGGAAUCCUUGCCGCAUGGAGGGGGUGGGAAAGCUUGGGUGGUUUGGGAUGGACUCGCGGCCUAUCAGCUUGCUGGUGGGGUAGUGGCUUACCAAGGCUUUGUCGGGUAGCCGGCCUGGGGGGGCGACCGGCCACAUUGGGAACGGGGUACGGCCCAGGAUCCCACCGGGAGCAGGAAGGGGGAAUAAUGGACAAUGGGCCGGAGCCUGAAGGAGCAAAGGCGCGGGGGGGAUGACGGGCUUCCGGUUGUAAACCGGUUUCAGCAGGGGCGAAACUGGUAGUGACGGUACCUGCAGAAGAAGCACCGGCUAACUACGUG
rnacentral:rRNA from 1 species